AUAGAGCGUACAUAGAGUGGUGCAGUAUUCUAGUCGGCCUCCCGACACCGAAGGCGGGCCUAAAAAUUCGCCAAAGGGCACAUCGAUGAAGUUCCUGGUGUUGGCUUGCGACGCCCAGUCGUGGGCUGAUGCUGGGAGUUAAGGUUGUGGGGCGAUCCACAAUGGCAUGUGGGCGUUGACCCCGCUUCCGCGGAGGCCCAAGUGCGUGGUACGGCGCCCUCGCGCGCCGCAUUACGGCUUGGGGUAUGAACCUAUAUUGCGAGUCACGCGGAACGCUCUCCGGCUUGCCGGAUCGUUCCGUGAGGGUGGCUUGUAUGUAGCGUAGCCUGCCUUGAGUGAGUCUGCAGGGAUAGCGGAUGUGUAGAUACGAAGGUCUUAGGCCAAAGACCUGCCUAUCGGAUGCCGCUUGAAAUCUGAUUUGCAAAAGAGGCUAAGGGUCGGUUCAGGGCUGCUCGAGGAAAACUCCUAGACUGUUCACAUUGUGAGGCUUUGUGGGGAUUAUAGUGUGGUCUAAGUGGUAAUCCAGUCUGACGUCCGGCGACGGCGUCAAGACGCUCUUAAUUGGAAACGGCCUGCCCGGCGACGGGGAGGCGGGCGUCUGGGAAAACCUACUGGACCUAAGCCACAGCGUUUAUCCAGAAAGCUACCACUCCAACCAUUAUUGGU
rfam:Paenibacillus dendritiformis C454 PDENDC1000024, whole genome shotgun sequence.